UACGUAGGGGGCAAGCGUUGUCCGGAUUUAUUGGGCGUAAAGAGCGUGUAGGCGGUUGGGUAGGUCCGUUGUGAAAACUCGAGGCUCAACCUCGAGACGCCGAUGGAAACCCCCCAGCUAGAGUCCGGAAGAGGAGAGUGGAAUUCCUGGUGUAGCGGUGAAAUGCGCAGAUAUCAGGAGGAACACCGGUGGCGAAGGCGGUUCUCUGGGCAUUACCUGACGCUGAGGAGCGAAAGUGUGGGGAGCGAACAGG
rnacentral:rRNA from 1 species